rnacentral:snRNA from 1 species
GUCUGAAUAAAUCAGUAAGC